CUGGUUCUUCGGAACAUGUGCACACCUGGCGCCAUUUUUACCACCUGUGCACCUUUUGUAGACCUGGAUAUCUCUCGAGGAAACUCGGUUUGAGGACUGCUGUGCGCAAGCCAGCUUUCCUUACAUUUCCGGUCUAUGUUUUUAUAUAUACCCCAUCAGAAUGUAACAGAAUGUCAUUAAUAGGCCUUGGUGCCUUUAAAUAAAAUACAACUUUCAACAACGGAUCUCUUGGCUCUCGCAUCGAUGAAGAACGCAGCGAAAUGCGAUAAGUAAUGUGAAUUGCAGAAUUCAGUGAAUCAUCGAAUCUUUGAACGCACCUUGCGCUCCUUGGUAUUCCGAGGAGCAUGCCUGUUUGAGUGUCAUUAAAUUCUCAACCUUUCUGGCUUUUAUUAGUCGGUUAGGCUUGGAUGUGGGAGUUGCGGGCUUCUCAAAAGUCAGCUCUCCUUAAAUGCAUUAGCGAAACCUUUGUUGACCAUCUCUGGUGUGAUAAUUAUCUACGCCAUUGGGAAGCAGCUUUAAAAUCGGUUUAGCUUCUAACCGUCUUCUGGACAAUUCUUGACAUUUGACCUCAAAUCAGGUAG
rnacentral:rRNA from 1 species